rnacentral:rRNA from 1 species
CCUACGGGAGGCAGCAGUGGGGAAUAUUGCACAAUGGGGGAAACACUGAUGCAGCGACGCCGCGUGAGUGCAGAAGUAAUUCGUUAUGUAAAGCUCUAUCAACAGGGAAGAAAAUGACGGUACCUGAGUAAGAAGCCACGGCUAACUACGUGCCAGCAGCCGCGGUAGUACGUAGGGGGCAAGCGUGAUCCGGAUUUACUGGGUGUAAAGGGAUGGUAGACGGCGGUGCAAGUCUGGAGUGAAAGGCCGGGGCUCAACCACCGGAAUGCUCUGGAAACUGUACGGCUGGAGUGCAGGAGAGGUAAGUGGAAUUCCUAGUGUAGCGGUGAAAUGCGUAGAUAUUAGGAGGAACACCAGUGGCGAAGGCGGCUUACUGGACUGUAACUGACGUUGAGGCUCGAAAGCGUGGGGAGCAAACAGGAUUAGAUACCCCGGUAGUC